CCAGAAAGAAAUACCAUUUCUCCACCCCCAAUCUCACACACACCCCUUAGUGGCUCCCUCCAAAUGGUUAUCACAACUGUGUACAAAACUGAUAGGGUUCUUAGCGGGCCAAGGACUGGAAAUGAACACUGGCGGGGUUAUCAGUGCUGAUCUGUCAGCAGCGAGUCGCGCACUGCUUGUCCCAGGCAGCAGCAGUGAUAUACGUCUUAUUCCUUUGGGCUCACAAAAGGGAUUUCUUUCGACAAGCUGGACACUGGAAGAAGACUGCGGAGGGGAAUUGAAUAGGAGAAACACUCUUGUGGGAGUGGAUUUUUACACGAACACCCCAGUCCCUGUGGCUUCAGCGUGGUGGCUGCCUUUCUGAAAGGCUGAAAGUAGAAAACUCUGGAAUGGAAAGGCUAGCAGCUGGAACAGGAUUUGAAGACUUUAAAUGUUAACCCGAGUUCGAUCGAAAGUUACUACCACAAGAGACUGCCACCGGCCGGCCCAAUUCCCACCGCGGCUUCCAGUGGCUUGCUUUGGGUUGUCCGCUAGGCAUGGAAGACUAGAAAACACACUGACCCUGGCGCUUCUGGGACAGAGGUGAGGAGUUCGACCCAUAUGAACAGAUUCGACAACAUUCGGACUCUGGCGGCUGGGGAAGAAACCCAUAAUUUUACCCUUCUCAUUCCCAAUCAUUUUAGUAGUGCCUCCAACCACAAGAAAAAACGAUAGAUCAUUGUUUUUCCUUUCAGGGCUCAAA